rnacentral:rRNA from 1 species
CGUGUAGGCGGCUUGGUAGGUCUGCUGUGAAAACUCGAGGCUCAACCUCGAGCUGUCGGCGGAAACCACUUGGCUAGAGUCCGGAAGAGGAGAGUGGAAUUCCUGGUGUAGCGGUGAAAUGCGCAGAUAUCAGGAAGAACACCUAUGGCGAAGGCAGCUCUCUGGGACGGUACUGACGCUGAGACGCGAAGCGUGGGAGCGAACA